ACACAAUGGCGCGCAUUAGAACACCAGCCGGACAUCUGCCAGCACUGGUUAGACACUGUGUGCUGGAAUGGAGCAGACACACUGGAUUCAUUGAUGGAUCCCAGUCAUUUUCUACAGAGAGAAGGAGAUCUGACAACGCGGUGCAUGAUGGGUAAGGAACGGGGGCUCAGUGAAGGGCACUGUCUCUCCUGCAUUGCGGUACAGCACAGCCAGCCGUUUGAGUGACAGCUCGUCUA